CAGUUUUGGUACUAUAAAUACUAUUAUUUUCGUAGUCGACAUCUAGAUUCUGUAUCUUUAGGUAAUUAAAUAAAAGUAAAUAAAAUCUACCCUCAUAUGGCUCCGUAAGCCAGUUGAGGGUAGAUGAAAACAUUAUACACGAUCAAAUAAUGUAGGUUAAAGUCAGGUCGUUCAGUGACAGAUCCAGUCGGGUUUGUAUUUGGUCGGUUAACCAAUAAAUGUUAUAACUACCCGUAAAUGUACAAAUUAUUUGUUUACUUUUAUUU